rnacentral:rRNA from 1 species
GAUGAACGCUGGCGGCGUGCCUAAUACAUGCAAGUCGAGCGAACAGAUGAGGAGCUUGCUCCUCUGACGUUAGCGGCGGACGGGUGAGUAACACGUGGAUAACCUACCUAUAAGACUGGGAUAACUUCGGGAAACCGGAGCUAAUACCGGAUAAUAUAUUGAACCGCAUGGUUCAAUAGUGAAAGACGGUUUUGCUGUCACUUAUAGAUGGAUCCGCGCCGCAUUAGCUAGUUGGUAAGGUAACGGCUUACCAAGGCAACGAUGCGUAGCCGGCCUGAGAGGGUGAUCGGCCACACUGGAACUGAGACACGGUCCAGACUCCUACGGGAGGCAGCAGUAGGGAAUCUUCCGCAAUGGGCGAAAGCCUGACGGAGCAACGCCGCGUGAGUGAUGAAGGUCUUCGGAUCGUAAAACUCUGUUAUUAGGGAAGAACAAAUGUGUAAGUAACUAUGCACGUCUUGACGGUACCUAAUCAGAAAGCCACGGCUAACUACGUG